rnacentral:rRNA from 1 species
CCUACGGGAGGCAGCAGUGGGGAAUAUUGGGCAAUGGGCGCAAGCCUGACCCAGCAACGCCGCGUGAAGGAAGAAGGCCCUCGGGUUGUAAACUUCUUUUAACAGGGACGAAGAAAGUGACGGUACCUGUUGAAUAAGCCACGGCUAACUACGUGCCAGCAGCCGCGGGAAUACGUAGGUGGCAAGCGUUAUCCGGAUUUACUGGGUGUAAAGGGCGUGUAGGCGGGAGGGCAAGUCAGACGUGAAAUUCCAGGGCUCAACCCUGGCACUGCGUUUGAAACUGUUCUCCUUGAGUGAUGGAGAGGCAGGCGGAAUUCCGGGUGUAGCGGUGAAAUGCAUAGAUAUCCGGAGGAACCCCAGUGGCGAAGGCGGCCUGCUGGACGUUAACUGACGCUGAGGCGCGAAAGCGUGGGGAGCAAACAGGAUUAGAUACCCGUGUAGUC